AAUCAACGCUGGCGGCGUGCCUAACACAUGCAAGUUGAGCGCUUGAGGGGGGCAACCCCCAAGAGAGCAGCGAACGGGUGAGUAACGCGUGGGUGAUCUUCCUUCGAGUGGGGAACAACAUCGGGAAACUGGUGCUAAUUCCGCAUAAUAUCCUCGGGCCACGAGCCUGGGGAUCAAAGCCGGGGACCGCAAGGCCUGGCGCUUGAAGAUGAGCCCGCGUCCGAUUAGCUAGUUGGCGGGGUAAUGGCCCACCAAGGCUCCGAUCGGUAGCCGGCCUGAGAGGGCGGACGGCCACACUGGAACUGAGACACGGUCCAGACUCCUACGGGAGGCAGCAGUGGGGAAUUUUUCGCAAUGGGCGCAAGCCUGACGAAGCAACGCCGCGUGGAGGAUGAAGGUCUUCGGAUUGUAAACUCCUGUCGACCGGGACGAAUGCACUCGACCUAAUACGUCGGAAUGUUGACGGUACCGUGGAGGAAGCCAGGCUAACUCUGUGCCAGCAGCCGCG
rnacentral:rRNA from 1 species